rnacentral:rRNA from 1 species
AGUGAACGCUGGCGGCGUGCUUAACACAUGCAAGUCGAACGAGAACGGAAUAUAGCUUGCUAUAUUUGUCAGCUAAGUGGCGCACGGGUGAGUAAUGUAUAGAUAACCUGUCCUUAAGAAAGGAAUAACAGUUGGAAACGACUGCUAAUGCCCUAUAUGCCUUUAAUACAUAAGUAUGCAAGGGAAACGCUUUAGUGCUUAAGGAUGGGUCUGUAUGGUAUCAGCUUGUUGGUGAGGUAAUGGCUCACCAAGGCUAUGACGCCUAACUGGUUUGAGAGGAUGAUCAGUCACACAGGAACUGAGACACGGUCCAGACUCCUACGGGAGGCAGCAGUGGGGAAUAUUGCACAAUGGACGAAGGUCUGAUGCAGCAACGCCGCGUGGAGGAUGACACAUUUCGGUGCGUAAACUCCUUUUAUAUAGGAAGAUAAUGACGUUACUCGCAGAAUAAGCACCGGCUAACUCUGUGCCAGCAGCCGCAGUAA